GGUGCUGCAUGGCUGUCGUCAGCUCUGCCGUGAGGUGUUGGGUUAAGUCCCGCAACGAGCGCAACCCCUAUCUUUAGUUGCCAUCAGUUCGGCUGGGCACUCUAUGGAGACUGCCACCUAAAGUGGAGGAAGGUGGGGAUGACGUCAAGUCAGCAUGGCCCUUACGUCCGGGGCUACACACGUGCUACAAUGGCCGGUACAAAGGGUUGCGAAGCCGUGAGGUGGAGCGAAUCUACAAAAAGCCGGCCUCAGUUCGGAUUGGAGGCUGCAACUCGCCUCCAUGAAGUCGGAAUCGCUAAGUAACCGCAGAUCAGCUACGUUGCGGUGAAUACGUUCCCGGGCCUU
rnacentral:rRNA from 1 species